CGUCCAAGGCUAAAUACG
rnacentral:snRNA from 1 species